AGUGAACGCUGGCGGUAGGCCUAACACAUGCAAGUCGAACGGCAGCACAGAGGAGCUUGCUCCUUGGGUGGCGAGUGGCGGACGGGUGAGGAAUACAUCGGAAUCUACUCUGUCGUGGGGGAUAACGUAGGGAACUUACGCUAAUACCGCAUACGACCUACGGGUGAAAGCAGGGGAUCUUCGGACCUUGCGCGAUUGAAUGAGCCGAUGUCGGAUUAGCUAGUUGGCGGGGUAAAGGCCCACCAAGGCGACGAUCCGUAGCUGGUCUGAGAGGAUGAUCAGCCACACUGGAACUGGGACACGGCCCAGACUCCUACGGGAGGCAGCAGUGGGGAAUCUUGGACAAUGGGGGCAACCCUGAUCCAGCCAUGCCGCGUGAGUGACGAAGGCCUUAGGGUUGUAAAACUCUUUCAGCGGGGACGAUAAUGACGGUACCCGCAGAAGAAGCCCCGGCUAACUCCGUGCCAGCAGCCGCGU
rnacentral:rRNA from 1 species